rnacentral:rRNA from 4 species
CGGCGAGUGAAGCGGCAAUAGCUCAAAUUUGAAAGCUGGCCCCUUCGGGGUCCGCGUUGUAAUUUGUAGAGGAUGAUUCGGCGAGGGCUCCCGUCUAAGUCCCUUGGAACAGGGCGUCAUAGAGGGUGAGAAUCCCGUAUGUGAUGGGCUGCCUUAGCCAUGUGAAUCUCCUUCGACGAGUCGAGUUGUUUGGGAAUGCAGCUCUAAAUGGGAGGUAAAUUUCUUCUAAAGCUAAAUACCGGCCAGAGACCGAUAGCGCACAAGUAGAGUGAUCGAAAGAUGAAAAGCACUUUGGAAAGAGAGUUAAAAAGUACGUGAAAUUGUUGAAAGGGAAGCGCUUGCAGCCAGACUUGUCCGCAGUUGCUCAGCUUGUCUCCUGACAGGCGUACUCUUCUGCGGCCAGGCCAGCAUCAGUUCGGGCGGUCGGAUAAAGACCUAGGGAAUGUAGCUCCUCUCGGGGAGUGUUAUAGCCCUGGGUGCAAUGCGGCCAGCCUGGACUGAGGAUCUCGCUUCGGCUAGGAUGCUGGCGUAAUGGCUGUAAGCGGCCCGUCUUGAAACACGGACCAAGGAGUCUAACAUCUAUGCGAGUGUUUGGGUGUCAAACCCAUGCGCGUAAUGAAAGUGAACGGAGGUGGGAACCCUCACGGGUGCACCAUCGACCGAUCCUGAUGUCUUCGGAUGGAUUUGAGUAAGAGCAUAGCUGUUGGGACCCGAAAGAUGGUGAACUAUGCCUGAAUAGGGUGAAGCCAGAGGAAACUCUGGUGGAGGCUCGCAGCGGUUCUGACGUGCAAAUCGAUCGUCAAAUUUGGGUAUAGGGGCGAAAGACUAAUCGAACCAUC